GGCCCGUUAGCUCAGUUGGUUAGAGCGUCGUGCCGAUAAUGCGGAGGUCGGGGGUUCGAUGCCCCCAUGGGCCA
rfam:Stegodyphus mimosarum contig24041, whole genome shotgun sequence.